AUUCAAACUUAAAGCUGCAAAGCAGGAGAACAACAUGACCAUCAACUAUUCUGUGCCACAGAUCCAGUUCGCUGCAGCACAGAGUGAUGAUGAGAUGGUGAAAGAACAACAGAGACAAUUUACGGACUGUUAACAUGUGCAACUUAGAAGUAGUCAGAGGUAGCUGGAUGUUCAGUCGGGUUAAAUGCACGGUUGAUUGGAUUAUAUCUGAAGAUCGUAUGCUAUUCGUGACAACUCUACUAGACUCCAAAUUUCUCGUCCAUGAGGGAGUAUCUCAAAAGUAAAUGAAACAACUAAACUUAACACUUUUUCCCUAAAACGGACUGACAUGGGAAACAUUAAAGUUGGACUGACACCAGCUAAUCAGUCUGAAGAACAAGAAGGGAGACCACUGAGGAGAAGUUCUAUGAGUUCACGGGUGACCUCAGCUGUCAAGUUCCUGGAUGUGGGUAUGCUGCACAAAACUUUACAACUCUGUGCCCAUCUCAGAUUUCACAUCAAAGACGGGAAAAAAGUAUUAUGUCCCUUUGAAGGUUGCUCUAAAUACUUCAGUGUCCGAACAUCAUUUUCCAGCCGUAUUUCUCGAAAACAUAAGUAGACAGUUCAGCAGUCAAGGCAACAAGAAAUUGGGGAAUUUGCCAUAAUAUAAGGACAGGACACAGUUAAUCUAUUAGAAGACAGUUGGCUUUGUGUAAUUUAAAAAUGCAGGCUAAAAUGCUCUUACCAACCAGCACUAUACAGAGCAUCAUAGAGGAAUUUCAGGAUCUUCUCAGCUGUGCAAUGCACGAUGUUCUUGCAAUACUGUCUGACAAACUCUUCAUUUAAUAUUCCACAAGCAGAAGUGGACAAAAUCAAUCAAGAACUUUUUUCAUAGAGGACUAUAUAUAUCUGAGACACAGUAGGUUUCCUGACAAAGCUUUAAAAGCAAAACAUCACUAUUUGUUACAUUAUGCAGAGCUUAUCCUUCACUUUGGACCACUCAUUCGUUUGUGCACCCUUAGGUUUGAAAGCAAGCACUCGUAUUUCAAAGCAUGUACAAGUUCAGUCUUGCAUAACUUUGUCAACUUAUGCAAGACUGAACGGCAUCAGUUACUGCAGUCCUACCUCUCAGUGGGCCAAAUGUUUCCACCUAUGGUUCAAAUGAUUGGAGAAACAAGAGAUUAGAAUCCUCAUCUUUACAAUGCUCUCAUUCAAGAAGCUGUGGCAAACUUUAGAUGUGUCAGCAGUUGUCUACAAAGGUACCAAGUAUGUCAAAGGCUAUGUUUCCAUUGUAGAUGACACUGAUGAUGGCUUGGUUUUUGGGAAGAUAACUGUUAUACUUGUUAACGAUUCUGAAUUGUACUUUGUGCUCAAGUUGCAUCACUCAGUACUUCUCAUUGACCUUGGACUUCACUGCUUGCGUUGCCCUACAGAAAGAAGAGUGUGUGUAUGCUGACAGUCUGAUGGAUUAUUACCCACCACCACUUUAUAACAUGGCAGGCCUCUUUGUUGUCUCCCUACACCAUUCAGUUUCCUCUUAAUUCUCUUUCAGGGAUGGAAAUUGAAGAGGAACUUACAAGCCUCCUGCCAACACUAGACAGAGAGAAAAUAAUCUGCAUUGUAGAACAUCUGACAGACGUUAUUGGUGUACAACAAAAAAGUGAUCUUUUGUUUGUGGAAGAUCUCAAACCCUUUCUCACACCAAUUCAAAUACGUAAACUACUUCUUGCAUUUAAAGGAGGUUUGUGUAGGUUCUGUACAAAUCAUAGACUUGAGUCUAUGAUUUGAAGGUCACUCAUAGACUCAUAUGUCACUGAUUAGCUUGAUUAGCUUUUUUUUUCUCUUCACCAUACUACACAUGUACUUUGACAGUAUAAUAUUGAAGAGCGUUUUGGGGCUCACAUUGUCUGGUAGUUAAUUAACAUGGAAAACAUAAACAAAAGUAGACACUAAAUCUAACACCAUUAACCUUUCAUUGGUAGUGGUACAACUAAGGGUUUGAAAUUGUGACAUACUGUAAAAUAUAUUGACUCAAGGUCUUUUCAAUGCAAGACCUUGAGUUUGUAGUUCUUUUGCAGUCCUGGGAUUGCUUCUUUUCAUCUUCAGACAAGGUCCCCAAAAACUGCCUUGCCGUUACUACUCAAUCCUAAUUGAAGGGUUCAUAUUUUAGUGAGGACAUAUUUGUUGACAUAGUAGCUUUUUAAGGUAACUUUUCCAAUGAUCUUUAUUUAUUUAUUUAUGUGUUUAGAUGGCAACAGACCAGAGAACCUGAAUGACACCAUUACUCUGGAGCUUUGCCCUGCUGCAUCAGCUGAAACAUCAAGCCAUCCACGUCCACCCCUCCGUCCACCACUAUGUACAACCAUUACUCCAGCUCUUGGGUCUCACACUUACAGAUUCCUUGUGAAAGAUUUCCACUCCGAUUGUCGCAUGCAAUCACAAGAGGGGACAGAGCUCAUCCAGAGGACAGGAGAAGUCAGCUAAUUGUGAUAGAUGAUGAAUGAAUUAUCCCUAAGUAACUCAUUAUUUCAAAUCACAACUCAAUGUUACUGUAUGUUACUGUUUAUUAUGGCAUGUUUUAAGGUUUUUUGUAAGGAUUAACCCUGAAGAGGGAACAAAAUGUACCUCCAAGGUUGGGACAAGCAGAAAGACUGGGACCACUGUGAAGCGAAAGGUUGCUCACAUUAACCCUCAUGUCACAACUUUCCUCCAGCGGCUUACUGAAUUUGAGUGGAGAACUUCAAAUUAGGUAACUGUUUUUGCCAUUUUUAGUGAAUUUCUUGUAUAAUUUAAGUGACUAAUGUGUUGUUACCUGUGUCUCCACAGAUGAUCCGUGGCCCAUGCUUUCUGGACAUUUACACAAGACGAACAACAAUGAAGACAAGCUCUCUCGCCAUCUUGCAAGACGCUGACUCUGUCCAAUAGGUUUUUUGAGUGCAACAGUUUUGAUUUUUUUUUCCUUCUUUUACCCGUUUGUUAAAAAUUAUUUCAGCUACUUACACUUUAGUUGUCACAUGUAUUGGCUCACCCUACAAAUCAAUUAACUCAGUCCACAAAGCAAGGUCAGGGUUCAGUGCAGGUCAGUCAAGUUCCUUCACACCACACACGCUCAUCCAUGUCCUUGUGGACCCUGCUUUGUGCAUUGAUUUGGUGGUGUGAGCCAGUAUUUUGGAUAAAGUGUAUAUAAAGGUAGAAGUUUGGGGCUUGAUAUUAUAUUCAUUACAAUUACAAUUCAGUUUAUUUGUAUGGUGCCAACAAAAUGAAUGCCAAGGCACUUCACAGUGUAGGUUUAAGACCCUAAAAAAUAUAACUAAGAAAACCCAACACUUGAGCAUAUGUUGUCUGCCAUGAUAUGGAUAUGACAUAAUAUUGUUAUUGUUUGUACAACCAUCUGAGAAAAUAAUGGAUUACAUGGUUUAGUAAAAACAAGUGCUUCCUCAAUGAAAAUAUGUUUUCAGUUCUUUUCAGUUUUUGAUUUUGGAAAUGUGUAUUUCAUCAGGGAAAAAUCAGAACAAAUAAAAAGUGGUGUGAAGCACAUGAAUUAUUUUGUGUGUGUGUGUGUGUAUCUAUCUAUCUAUCUAUCUUGAUCAAUCGAUCUUUAGUGGGUAU
rnacentral:lncRNA from 1 species